CDSUAACGACUGCUCUUCUGCCACCUAAGAGAUUAGGCGUUCCCUUCGGGGACAGAAUGACAGGUGGUGCAUGGUUGUCGUCAGCUCGUGUCGUGAGAUGUUGGGUUAAGUCCCGCAACGAGCGCAACCCUUAUUACUAGUUGCCAGCAUUCAGUUGGGCACUCUAGUGAGACUGCCGGUGACAAACCGGAGGAAGGUGGGGACGACGUCAAAUCAUCAUGCCCCUUAUGACCUGGGCUACACACGUGCUACAAUGGAUGGUACAACGAGUCGCGAAACCGCGAGGUUUAGCUAAUCUCUUAAAACCAUUCUCAGUUCGGACUGUAGGCUGCAACUCGCCUACACGAAGUCGGAAUCGCUAGUAAUCGCGGAUCAGCAUGCCGCGGUGAAUACGUUCCCGGGUCUGAAC
rnacentral:rRNA from 1 species